AUGAUGAUAAAAGGUAAAAAAUUUAUGGUUAGAAACUGUAUGAUCAACCGUGAUUAUUACUUUACUAGGGCGGACUGACUAA
rnacentral:ncRNA from 15 species